UUUAGGUUUCUUUGGAAUGAAUGAGGCGCAUUGCGCGACAAUGCGCCAUCGCUAAAACAGCUUUGAGCAUUCCUGGCGCCUCCAGGAUCGAAGAGCCGAGCGCGUUUCCUAGGCCGGGAUAUUCUACAUCAGAGCACUCGAGCGAAUUUCUGGAUGAGAGCUUGGCUUCCACGAGGACAAAGACGAAGAGCUCAACUAAAUCCACAGCAAGAAAAGAGCUCGACUCGAGAGAGCAUUCGAAUGGACUUUCAGCAAGGACGGGCUCACAAAAACACGAGAGAAAAUGCGCGUUCAUGGCCGGAUUGAAGUCAUGCUCCGCCUCCAAGGACGUCGAGAAAGGACGAAAAAUCCACCGCGAUGCCAUCGACGCCGGCCACGAAUCCGACUUGUUUGUUGCCACAGCACUGGUGGACAUGUACGCGAACUGUGGCAGCAUGGUAGAAGCUCGCAAAGUUUUCGACAAUAUGCUCCACCGCGACGUGGUUUCAUGGAACGCUCUCAUCCUCGGCUACGUCGAGAAUGGAAACAGCGAAGAGGCUCUGCGGCUGUUCGACGCCAUGCAAGCUUCCAAGCGAUGCUCACCGAGCUCCAGGACUUUCGUUGCGGUGCUCAUGGCCUACACACACCAGGCGACCAGAAACCAGGCUCGCCAGCUCGAGUUUCUAGAGAGCGGCAUGGCUCUUUACUCCCGCGCUGGCUCUCACGCAAACAACUUCGUCGCCGCGGCUCUGGUGGCUCUCUGUGCAAAGUGUGGGGGCAUGCAACAAGCCCGGAAAGUUUUCGACACCGUAGCUCGCCCCGACGUGAGCUUGUGGAACGUUUACAUUCUCGGCUAUGUGGAGAACGGGGAGAACGACGAAGCUCUGAGGCUUUUCUAUAGGAUGCAGCUGGAACCGAACGCUAGAACUGUCAUGGCGGCUCUCCUGGCUUGCGGGAACUUAGCAGCACAGGAAGAAGGAAUCAGGAUCGACGGGAUGAACUUAAAGGUGGAAGCGUUGCGGCAGGGUGUGGCUGUUCACUCGGUAGCUCGGCGGCACGGCUGUGACUCGCACAACUUCGUUGGAAACUGCUUGAUCGACAUGUACUCGAGGUGUGGCAGCGUGGUGGAAGCUCGCAGAGUUUUCGACAGCAUGUCGAGCAAGACAGUCAUCACUUGGACGGCGAUGAUGGUCGGAUACGAGCUAAACUCCGAGGCGGAGCUGGCUUUGGAGCUCUUUUCACAGAUGAGAAGCGGUCCGGAAGCUUGUGAGCCGGACGAGCGAGCAGUGGUGGCAGCUCUCACGGCUUGCGCGAGCUUGGCUGGAAAAGAAACCGGGCAGCUCAUCGAUGGAAAACAGCUUGUCAAGGUGGAGAGCUUGGAAAAGGGGAUGGCUAUUCACUCUCGGUCGCGAAGCAUGGAUAUCUUCAUUGCCACCUCUCUCAUCGACAUGUACGCAAAGUGUGGGAGCCUAGAGGACGCUCGCAGAGUCUUUGACGCCAUGGCUCACCACGACGUGGCGUCAUGGAACGUUCUUAUCACCGGCCAUGCGGAAGGUGGUGAAAGCGAGAGAGCUCUCGAGUUUUACGAUCGGAUGCAAGCUCAAGGCAUAUGUGCUCCAAACGCGACGACUUUAGUAGCGGCUCUCACUGCCUGCAUCGACAUCGCCGCGAAAGAAGAAGGGAACACCGACGAGUCAGGGAAAGGCGUGAGAUCCAGCUGCUUGGAGAGAGGAACAGCUUUGCAUCGCCAGGGAAAGCAACUGGAUUGCGAGUCGGACAUGUCCGUAGCAAACGCUCUACUGGAGAUGUACGCGAGGUGUGGUAGGCUGGAGGAGCUGUGGGUGGUUUUUCACUCCAUGCCAUGCCGGAACGUCUCGGCCUGGACGGCUCUUAUACUGGGACACGUAGAAAACGGCGAGGCCAAGGCAGCACUGGAACUCUUCGAGCGAAUGCAGGUGGAAGAUCAGUGCUCUCCAAAAGUUUGGACGUUUUCCUGCGCUUUCAGGGCCUGCCUGAUGCUGCUCGACUUGCGAGCCGGGAAAGUUCUCCACGCUGCUGCAUGCCGGAGGGGGCUCGAGGAUUCUCUGACGCUAGAGACGCUGCUCAUGGAUUUCUACGGGAAGUGUGGCAAGGCCCCUCAAGCUCAGCACGUCUUCGACUCGCGACUCACAAGGGACUCGCUAAGCUGGAACUCGCUGAUAUCGUGCUACAGCCUUCAAGGCGACUCCGAGCGUGUUUUCGAGCUCUUCUAUCAGAUGCUAUUGGAUCACGAGAGCGUCGCAGUGACGGCCGCCACCUUCGUCUCGGUUCUCACCACCUGCAGCCAUGCCGGACUCGUCGACGAUGGCAAGAAGUUUUUCCACUCGAUGCGGUCCAGGCACGGGAUGGAACCGGGGCUCGAGCACUACAACUGCAUGGUCGACAUGCUCGGCCGGGCAAACAGGUUUGACGAAGCAGUCGAGAUGGUGAAGACAAUGCCGCAUGAAGCAACGGCACUGACUUGGAGGACUCUUUUAUCAGCGUGUCAGACUUGGAAGAAUGUCGAGGUGGGAAAGCUUGCGUUUGAGGCUCUGGUGAAGCUGGACGAGAGCGAUUCGGCUGGAUAUGUUUUGAUGUCAAACAUCUACUCAGCAGCUGACGAAGAUUCUACUUUUGGGAAGGAGGAAAAAGUGAUCAGCGAGGCAAAGCUCUUGAUUUUCCAAAGUUUGGUGCCGCUGCAGUUUUAUCCGAGCCAUCCAUUCCUUUUUCGUGAACAAUUCUUUGACUUUGGGGUGGCGAAAUUCGUUGUUGAUAGAACUCAAUGGAGUGUGAACUGGAGGUUUUGAAAGAAAAGGUGUCACGAGCAGAAGACUCGCUCGGCUUGGCACCACGAUCAGCCUCCUCGAGCUGGACAAAAAUGUUAUGUUUGCGUUCGAGCAUCCGUUUUACACAGCUCUUUCGUUCCAAAAGGGAAAUCCAACUAACUCGAUCAGUCAGUCCAUCUCACGCUAAAAACUUCCAUUGAUUUCGAUCACCAAACUCUUGCAGGGAAUCUCGACAGUACCCAAAAGAAGGUUGCGAGAAAACAAG